rnacentral:rRNA from 1 species
AUUGAACGCUGGCGGCAGGCCUAACACAUGCAAGUCGAACGGUAACAGGAAGAAGCUUGCUUCUUUGCUGACGAGUGGCGGACGGGUGAGUAAUGUCUGGGAAACUGCCUGAUGGAGGGGGAUAACUACUGGAAACGGUAGCUAAUACCGCAUAACGUCGCAAGACCAAAGAGGGGGACCUUCGGGCCUCUUGCCAUCGGAUGUGCCCAGAUGGGAUUAGCUUGUUGGUGGGGUAACGGCUCACCAAGGCGACGAUCCCUAGCUGGUCUGAGAGGAUGACCAGCCACACCGGAACUGAGACACGGUCCAGACUCCUACGGGAGGCAGCAGUGGGGAAUAUUGCACAAUGGGCGCAAGCCUGAUGCAGCCAUGCCGCGUGUAUGAAGAAGGCCUUCGGGUUGUAAAGUACUUUCAGCGGGGAGGAAGGCGGUGAGGUUAAUAACCUCACCGAUUGACGUUACCCGCAGAAGAAGCACCGGCUAACUCCGUGCCAGCCGCCGCAGUAA